UACGUAGGUGGCAAGCGUUGUCCGGAUUUAUUGGGUUUAAAGGGUGCGUAGGCGGCUUUGUAAGUCAGUGGUGAAAUACUCCAGCUUAACUGGAGGGGUGCCAUUGAUACUGCGGAGCUUGAGUACAGAUGAGGUAGGCGGAAUUGACGGUGUAGCGGUGAAAUGCAUAGAUAUCGUCAAGAACACCGAUAGCGAAGGCAGCUUACUGGGCUGUAACUGACGCUGAUGCACGAAAAGUGUGGGGAGCAAACCGG
rnacentral:rRNA from 1 species